AGCAGCCGCGGUAAUUCCAGCUCCAAUAGCGUAUAUUAAAGUUGUUGCAGUUAAAAAGCUCGUAGUUGAAUUUCGGGGUCAGUAGUCUGGUCAUGCCUUGGGUAUGUACUGGGCUCACUGAUUCCUCCCUCCUGAUGAACCGUAAUGCCAUUAAUUUGGUGUUGCGGGGAAUCAGGACUGUUACUUUGAAAAAAUUAGAGUGUUUAAAGCAGGCAAGCGCUUGAAUACAUUAGCAUGGAAUAAUGAAAUAGGACGUUCGAUCCUAUUUUGUUGGUUUCUAGGAUUGACGUAAUGAUUAAUAGGGAUAGUUGGGGGCAUUAGUAUUCAAUUGUCAGAGGUGAAAUUCUUGGAUUUAUUGAAGACUAACUACUGCGAAAGCAUUUGCCAAGGAUGUUUUCAUUAAUCAAGGACGAAAGUUAGGGGAGUCGAAGACGAUCAGAUGCCGUCGUAGUCUUAACCAUAAACUAUGCCGACUAGGGAUCGGAUGAUGUUAAUUUUUUAAUGUACUCAUUC
rnacentral:rRNA from 1 species